rnacentral:lncRNA from 1 species
UCUCCCCAAACUCAGGCCAAUUCUUAGCCUGGGACGAUACAGGGAAGAAGAAUCCAGGAAAUGUUGUUCCAGAUUGACCAAGUUGACAAAGUGGACUCCAUCACAGCUACAGUGCAGGACUUUAUGUAGAGGGGACUGUAAGCCUUCCCUGAACACUCUCAUCACCCCCUCCUUGGCAGACCCUUCAGGAGGGAAAUCCAUUGUGGCUUAGCACUAUGAAUGAAGAGUUCUUGGAGGAGGUGGAAAGGAGAAAGCCUCAAGGACUAGGAGGGACAUGAUAAACUCAGCACCUGCCAUCUUUGUUUGUCAGCCUUGGGAACCAAGUGUAUCAGACAUUUUUCUUCCUGCAUGUCAUUUCUUCAGCUCAAAGCUUGACCUCUGACUUUCUGGGCAGCUCUGUAUAUUUUUCUAAGAUCAAUAAGGGGAACACGUCACCAGGAAAGGCAAGUGGAUGGGACAGUUGUCCACAGUGUAAAUGAUGGCUAGUAACAAGUCAGAGGCUGACAAAAAUGCAGCCCCGGUUCAGUUCACUGCUAUGUAAGAAAUGGCUUAGUUACUAGUAGAGCUAAACUACUCUAGAGGAUAUUCUGGCAGAAAGUCUCCUCCCUCUUUUUAAAAAAUUUGUCAUACGUAAUGGUGAUAUAAAAGUGGGAGGGGGCAGAGUGGAGACCCUAAAUAUUUUCUCCUAUCUGUCAGAAACGGUCAUCUGGGAGAAUUAGGGCAAGUAAACCUCUCACCAUUGCUUUGAGCACAGAGGCCAGAGGCGUUUGUGUUUGUUUCAAGACCUUGAGUACAGAGGCGAGGGCUGGUGUUUUGCUGGUGACUGCUGAAGAGGAGGGAUUUGGCUUCUGGCAGAACAUAAAGCCAAGCUGACAACAAAGCUUUCCUUUCAAGCUAUCCAAAUGAACACAUUUCUAAUCUGAAAUUCAAAUACUUGACAACAGAGAGCCUGUGAGCUGGGCUUUGAACAGGAAAUUGCUUCAUGGUUUUAGCAUAAUGAAUUAGGCAGUUAGACUAAAUCCAUUUAGUAGGAAAAGAAUGCUUUCACAUGCUUUCUGAAAGAAAGGAGGGGGGAAAAACCUUCUUAAUUUCCCAAAUUUCUCAGGACUUAUAGACACAAAUGCUCCAUGUAAAUUUUAUCUGCUGUGUUCUAUGAUUAGUAUGUAAAAAGCCAUCCUAGCCUAGGAUUCAGAAAUCAUCUUUGUUAGAAAAUGCUGUGCCUCUUAAUGUUGGGGAAAGUGAAGGUGAUGAAUAAAGGUUAGAGGGUCUCAUCCUUCUUCGUGUCC